AUGGUCUGGGGGAAGGCUCCUGUGUGGCUGAACCUGCCGGCAGUGUGGGUGCAGCUGGGUACCAGGCAGCUCAGCCCUGACCUAGAGUAAAUUCUCAGGCGAAGUUUUCCCUGGGGGUUGAAUUUGCAGUAACACGUGUGAGCAUUCUAGCAGCAGUUUGAUGAUCAUGUAUGAUACUGCAAACAGGA
ensembl:snoRNA